UAAGUUCCCUUAGUCUUUUUUCUUCAUCUUCUUUUUGUCUGUCAUGACUAGUCUUUCUAUGAAAGUUAAAGUACAAGGCUCUUGUGGUUCUGUUGCCUCUUAAAGAUACAGUAACAGUAGUAAAAGUCUUUAUAAGAAGCAGCUGAAGCUGGUGUUAUAUUUCUUCACACAGCCAUAAAUUUUUAGUACCUGAAAAUUUUUUUGGAAUACAUAGAACCCAUAUUAGUAUUAUAAAAAAACGCAAAGUACCACUCAAUUGAUUGCUUAAACUAAGGAGAUGUGGCAAAUAAAAUGUCAAGAGAAUGGGAUUUAGGCAAGAAAAAUCAAUUUAUUGAUUAGGCUAGCAAUAAUUAAUAAAUUAACAGCCAAUGAUCUCUCUUGGUGAUCAGCGACGAAUCAUACACAGCCUUGGAUCAUUUAAAUACAGUUGUUUGUUUUUUUAAUCCCUUACCUUCUAUCUUAGAAUCAAUACUGGGUAUUGGUUCUAAGGCAGAUGAGUGGUAAGGGCUAGGCAAUGGAGAUUAAGUGACUUUCCCAGGGUCACACAGCUAGGAUGUGUCUGAGGUCAGAUUUGAACCUAGGACCUCCCGUCUCUGGACCUGACUCUCAAACCACUGAGCCACCCAGUUGUCCCCUUUAAAUACAGUUCUAAAAGCCAUUAUUCAGUCAUACCUAAUGAGGAGGUAGGCUAAUAUUUUCCACCCCUACUGUAGUUACUUCAUGGUAGAUGCCAUGAGGAGACAGACCUGUGUCACAAGAUUCCAAUAGCUUCUGGUAAUCUAGAUGAGCAGAUCAAGUUAUGUCUGAUUAAGUUUUCACUUCCGGAGCUCAUUUCAACAGACAAAACCAAGGAUAGGAGGCUAACAUUCCUGCAAAUUUCUUACUCAGUCAUCCAACUCCAGUGACAGGACAAAAGUCAAGAUGACUGGUGAUGGCCUGGGAUGCAGUGGAUGACCUUGGUGGCUAUGAUAUCUUGCCAAGCUGUAGGCACUCCACAGCACCUGCUUGUCACCUUCAUGGCCACUAGAAGAAAUUG
rnacentral:lncRNA from 1 species